GCGGAUAUGGUCAAAUGGUAAAAUUUCUC
rnacentral:tRNA from 1 species